rnacentral:rRNA from 1 species
GACGAACUCUGGCGGCGUGCUUAACACAUGCAAGUCGAACGGAGUGGCGAACGGGUGAGUAACCCGUUGGUGACCUGCCCUGCACUUCGGGAUAAGCCUGGGAAACUGGGUCUAAUACCGGCUAGUGGGGGAUGGGCCCGCGGCCUAUCAGCUUGUUGGUGGGUUAAUGGCCUGCCAAGGCGGCGACGGGUAGCCGGCCUGCGAGGGUGGACGGCCACCUUGGGACUGAGACACGGCACAGACUUCUACGGGAGGGAGCAGUGGGGAUUAUUGCACAAUGGGCGGAAGCCUGAUGCAGAGACGCGUCGGGGGGGAUGACGGCCUUCGGGUUGUAAACUCCUUUCACCAUCGACGCGGUAGAUGGAGAAGAAGCACCGGCUAACUACGUGCCAGCAGCCGCGGUAAUUC